AAAUGUGGUCAGUUCCAUUGGGAAGUGGGGUUUUCAUCAGCAGGGACUCUGCGGCAACUCACCUGCUUUCUGCUCCAAGAGUCCAGCACCCUGAGAUCCUGAUGCCAGGGUAAGCUGGGGGACUGCUCAUAGCCAAAGAUGCAGGUAACAGCGCUGUCAUCUAUGGCUCAAAGCCACUCACCAGGGAGUUGCUGCAGACCUGUAUGUAUCCUUAUACAGAGAAACAGAGAGAGGCUACUGAGGACCUAAGCCGGUGCCUCAUGGAUAAGGAAACUCCAUGGAAGUUAGAGCUGCCCUGUAAUUUGCAUCCCCCAUAUCUUAGAAACCAGAAUGAAAGGCCUACAGCAGAGACUGAAGAGAGGAAGGCUCAUCACUUGGACCACCAAAGAAAGGUCUCAAGAUCCCUCUGCUAUGGUUAAAUCUAGUCAAGCAACCCAUCCCGGUGCUACUGUGGAAUUCCUGCAAGAGGCAGGAGGCGGUUCAGAGUCAUCAAAGCCAUUUUUACAAGGUAGACAUAGGACUGGGGGAUUAAAGGCUUUCAUGGCCUCACUUGCCAACCUGCCUCCCCC
ensembl:antisense